rnacentral:lncRNA from 7 species
AAAUGAGGCCUAAAACAUUUCUUUGAGUACAGAGCAGAGAAGAAGAGCAGGAAAAGCCCAGGUUACUCACGGUUCUUUUCACCUCUCCACCUUGACCCCGCUCUCAUUCUAGGCGAGAUGUCCACAGCAGCAGUGACUCCUACCAGCCACAGCAGCAGCAGCAGUGACAGCACAGCCAUACCAGAGAAAAGCGCCAUCCAGUGUGCAGACUCCUGCCCUUGCAAGCUACUGCCAGAAGACCAUUCAGACAAAGAUCACACUUCCUUUAUAAGAAUUUCUCAGAGGACACAGAAGACUAUGCUGCAUCAUAACUUCUGGUUAAACAACUUUCUCCACCUUACUGUUAAAGACGACCCAACCUUGUUGGAUUUAGACAACCGCCAUUUAUUUUAUAAUUAGUUUUAAAAGUCCCUAUAAUCAACUAAUUAUUCAAAAGUCAAGCAUGACACAGAAAAUGUGAAAUGUUCUAAAGCAAACAGUGCCUAUUUAUGGCAACAGAUGUAGUCCAAAGAACAUCUGGAUUCACUCCUGAAAAAAACACUGUCUCUUAAGUAAACAAAGAAAAGUGUAAAAUCAUGGGAACGUAAUAAAAAAUUUUACAGCUCUGCAAG